GAGCAACUUUUCGGGUUGGGCGAAGGUCGUAACAGUGGGGCGCCGGGCAAGGAGUUGGUUCGCUUUGCAGAGCAGGGGAGGGAUCGCUCGCUCGCUCCCGCAGCGCGCGCGCCCGGCGGGGGGGAAGAAAGAAGAGUUCUUUUUUUUUUUUCAGGCCCCAGGAGGGGCUGCUUGGAGAAUCGGGUCCUCCAGCUUGUUGCGUCGAGAAACGUGCAGCCACCGUCACCUCCUUACUGGAAAGAAAAGAGAUCGGCCUUGCUGGUGGUAACUGGGAGGAGAGCGGCUGGAUAUUGGACCGGCACCAGGAGUUCAGCAAGAGCUGCCCGGCGAGAUGGUCCCCGAGCGGAGGGCUGCGGCGCGCGCUGGUUCCCGAUCCCCCGCCACGAACUGAAAGGCCAUGGGAAAGCGUGGGCAUGGCGAGCCCGAGACCCGGAUGUACGAAGGAGGCUUGGGACUGCGAAGGAAAGGGCGCGCGUACACACACGCACGCACACGCACGAGUGUGCACAUGUGUGUGGUGACAGACAUGGAGAGGGGUCGCCUAUAAUUAUCCGCCGCCUCCUAUCCUGUUCUCUCCACCUCCCGACUGAGGUUGUAAACUAUUUUGGCCAGAGGCAAGAAUCCCAACGAGGAAGCGAGCUACUUGAAUGUCGCCGAGAAAAUCCGCGCUGCAUUUCCAUGUUUUAUUGGGGGAGGGCUCUGUAUGUGUGUGUUUGCAGAAAAGGGUACAUGGUGGGGAAAAAAAUAUUCUGGGCCAGCUCUUUCCCCACCCCACCCCACCUUUAUAUCUCCUUGGGGGACAGGGCCUGGCAUUCUGGAUUUGCAGUUGAACCCCGGCUCCAGCGAGGAAUCUUCCCGGCUGGAAAAAGGCGCGCGGGUACUACGUGGAUGGCUAGAUCGUGGUGGCGGCGGCGGCGUUCCCCGUGGCUCUCGGCCUCGAGUCCCUUGGGCCGGCGGGGGUGGGGGCAAAGAAGGGAAAAGAUUAAAAGAGGGGUCACCUAAAAUUAAAAACGGCCCUCUCCUUUAGUUAAAUCCAAGUUUCUGCAUGGAAAAAUCGGGGAGAAAAUAGGAUCUGCUGCAGACCUCCAAAUUGCCGCCUGCCUCGGAACGGAUUCUUUAAUAUUUACUAUCCGUUUUCUAGCCAUACGUUUCAACCUGGCUUCCGCGGCCAUUCAUAAGACUCCCUCCCCCCCGCUCCUUUCUUCCCGAUGCCCACGGGAGGCCUCCGCGUCUCGGGAACUCCCCCUCCCCGCCAUCGUUGUGUCUCUUGUCUUUGGUCCUUCCUUGGUAAACAAAAGCUUGCGAUCUGGGAAAGUAGGCGACCGACUGACUGCAGGCGGUUCCCUCGCUUCCUUCGACCGGCUCCGGCUUCCGAUGGGCUAAGCAAAAACGGCGGGGAAUAGGCAGAAGGGAGCAACGCCGAGACGACCGCGAUCCCACCUCCUCCUGCUCACACAGGGGACGCCCGACGCAAAGUGAGGCGACCUGGCGGGCGUUUUUAACGAAGUGCUUCGCAGGAUCAGACCGUAGGGCCCUCGAAGCCUCCUCCGGUUUCAGCGUUGGCGGCCAGCUGCUUCCGGGAAACCCAGGAGGGGAGAGCCAGGAGGAGGCAGCCGCCCUUCGCCAGGCGGGAGGAGGAGGAGGAGGAGGAAGGCCGGGCGUAGCAGCAGCAGCAGCAGCAGCUACCAUGUGGCGUGCACCGGCAGCGUUCGGCUCCUUGGCUGAGCGGAGCGUGUGAAGAAGACGUGGGCUCGCUCGCUCGCUCGCUCGCGCCUUCCGUGGCGCUCAAAGGCUCGCUGGCUUUGACGGCGGCAAGAAGCCGGCCUGGAAAGUAGUCACUGCUUCGCUGGGAUCCGCCGAGCCGGCCUCACAUCUCGCGGCCGCGAUCGGGUAAAUCCGUGUGGAGCGCUGCCUAAUUAAACGGCUAAUAGGUGCUGUGCGCGCCCAGCAGAAGGAUGUCAGCCAAGCCUCAAACCCCCUCGCUCGCUCUCGCAAACCUGGA
ensembl:lncRNA